UAGUGGCGGACGGGUGAGUAACGCGUGGGUAACCUGCCAUAUACAGGGGGAUAACACUUAGAAAUAGGUGCUAAUACCGCAUAAGCGCACAGGGGCGCAUGCCCCGGUGUGAAAAACUCCGGUGGUAUAUGAUGGACCCGCGUCGUGAUUAGCCAGUUGGCAGGGUAACGGCCUACCAAAGCGACGAUCAGUAGCCGGCCUGAGAGGGCGGACGGCCACAUUGGGACUGAGACACGGCCCAAACUCCUACGGGAGGCAGCAG
rnacentral:rRNA from 1 species